AUUGAACGCUGGCGGCAGGCUUAACACAUGCAAGUCGAGCGGGGUGAUGGUGCUUGCACUAUCACUUAGCGGCGGACGGGUGAGUAAUGCUUAGGAAUCUGCCUAUUAGUGGGGGACAACAUCUCGAAAGGGAUGCUAAUACCGCAUACGUCCUACGAGAGAAAGCAGGGGAUCACUUGUGACCUUGCGCUAAUAGAUGAGCCUAAGUCGGAUUAGCUAGUUGGUGGGGUAAAGGCCUACCAAGGCGACGAUCUGUAGCGGGUCUGAGAGGAUGAUCCGCCACACUGGGACUGAGACACGGCCCAGACUCCUACGGGAGGCAGCAGUGGGGAAUAUUGGACAAUGGGGGGAACCCUGAUCCAGCCAUGCCGCGUGUGUGAAGAAGGCCUUAUGGUUGUAAAGCACUUUAAGCGAGGAGGAGGCUCUUUUGGUUAAUACCCAAGAUGAGUGGACGUUACUCGCAGAAUAAGCACCGGCUAACUCUGUGCCAGCCGCCGCGGUAAUAC
rnacentral:rRNA from 1 species